rnacentral:lncRNA from 1 species
UUAAUAUUCAAAUUCUGUAACCUUUUACAAUAAACAAAUAAACUAUUUAUAAGCUACUUGGGUUAGCCGAAUGGUCAAAAGAUACAAGACUUAAGUAUUAAGAAAUUCGGCUAUAAAUUAAGUACAUGAACUUCCCUAGUGACUAUGUCUAUUUUCGGCUGUAGAGAAGAUUCAAUGGACAGCUUUAGAGCUUAGAAAAUGAACUUGGAACUUGGUGAAUGCAUGGGAGGCCAAUGGACAUGUCUAGGUUCGUCCUUGGUGUGAAUGUCCCCUCCAAUAGAUGCUUCUUGGCUAAAUAAUCAAAUAAGAAACCAAUAGCCAGCACACAAUGCAUGUAGGUAAGCAUUCAUGAACUCUCCCAUUCGAUGUAGCUAAAUAUGCAUGCACCUUCCAAUUCGUUGCACCAUAUUGUUCACGUAGGUAUAUUUGGCUCCAAUUCAUGAAUGUGGCUAAGAAUUAAUGUAGAUGCUGCUCCUUGGUCGAAUAGUUACUUUGGAAAGCUAUGGGACAACCGCCGUUCAUUGUAGGUGGUCAUUCAUGUAUCCGUCCGUACUUUGAAUCCAACCAUGUAUGAACCUCCCUCCAAAUGAACCUAGCUAUACAUGCACCAGGCCAUAAAUGAAAUUCCACAUGCGGUUGUACCUACAUAAAUAAUAAACACAUCAAACAUAUAAUAAAUAAAACUCAUAAUUAAUUAACUUAACUAGUGAUUAAUUCAACUAGCUCAAAAAUGACAAUUAACGUAUCAAGCUGAUUUAAGCUAGUAGAUUCGGUCAUGAGCUGUAGUAAAAUGAUUAAAAUAAAACUAAUGAUUAAUUAUUGAAAAGUAUAAAAAGAAAUGAGCUGAAUGUAAGUUCAAAUGAGCUCAACGAGUUGCAUUAAGUUCCAAUGAGCUGAUUGGAGCUAACAGCAAAUUGAGGAGCUGGAAAUGGGCUAAGGUUAGCUCGCACGAGAAUGUAUGGACUUGUUGGAAAGUUGAGCACAACUCCUUCUUCGUCUUUGAGUUGAUUCUCACUCCAAAAUUUAAUGAGUAAAGCCGAAACAGCUUCUUAGAAGAGCUUAGCUCGAGCUCUAGUCAUGGGCCCUUUUGGAAGCUCAAUUGGUGCUUGGCUAGUCUUCGGUAAGCUCCCUAUCAUGCUUAUAUCAGUAUGUGGGCAAUCCCUUAGUACAUGUAAACCAUCCUCAUCACCAUGGCCACACAGGAAGAAUGAUUUGUCUUGUCCAAUCCCCUUCCACACCCUUUCAUAAUUGGAUAAAAGUCUCUGUUUUAAAACCAACCAAAUAAACUACCUUACUCUCUAAGGUCUUGGGGUUUUCCAUAUGGUGUUCCAGAUCCCAUCCCUUGGGUUCCAAGACUCAUCCCUAAGCAUCUGAUAAGCACUUUUAACAAAAAAAAGACUUCUAACGUGGUAUGAUACUAGGAUAGAAAGUCUGGGCUAACUAAUUCCAUAAAGGGUAGAAUACUAAUGAUACAUCGGACAAUGUCCUUUGGUAACCAAACCCAAAAAAUUUCAAGGUUCCAUAUGCCAUUUCCAUUUAUCAUCUCAUGCAUUUUACAAUCAGGGUUAAUGUUCGUAUUUCCUGGAACAUGUCUACUCAAAGGACCCAUGUUAGGAAUCCAAACAUCAUCCUAACAGUCAACAAUAUGCCCAUUACCUAUUGACCAGAUUAUGUUAUCACACAUCAAAGGCCAUACUUUAGCAAUGGAUUUUCGCAUAAGGAACUUUUACUUCUGUUUAUCCAAAUCGGAAUGUCUUCUUUUAUUCUAUUCUUUACUUUGAAAACCUGCACCCAUAAGGCGUCAGUCUUAGUGAAAACAUUGUAACUUAGUUUCAUCAUGAAGGCUUUGUUUUGAUCACAAAAACGACGAAUUCCAAUACCUCCACAAUAUUUAGGUUGACAAAUUUUGUUCCACCUAACUAAAGCCAUUUCCUUUUACCUUUCGAUGCACCCCAAAUAAAUUGUCUUGCCAUUUCUUCAAUUGAAUCACAAAUACCUUUCGGAACCAUCAUAGACUGCAUAAGAUAGCUUAGAAUAAAAAGCAGAACUGAUUGUGCUAAAGUGACCCUCCCCGUAAAAGAGAGUUUUUUAGGAUCCCAACUAAAGAGUCAAUUUUGGACUCUUUCCACCAAGAAAUCCUGAGUACUCUUACUCUUUGGUGAAGAAAGGGAACCCCCAAAUAUUUUCCCAAUCUCACCUCGUAAAUCUUCCUUGACACUUGCGAAGUAAAAGAUGUUGGUUUUCCUAGCAUUGACAUUAUGGCUCGAAUGUUCACAAAAAUUACCCAAAAAGCCUUUAAGAAGACCACAAUGCUUCAAAUUCGCUUUGCUGAAAAUCACUAAAUCAUUUGCGAAGAAUAAUUCUAAUAGAUCAGGACCUCUACGCGAUAACCAAAUAGGGUUCUGCUCUCCUAAUGAGAUAAUCGAAUGAAAACGGUGCCCCAACCACUCUAUAAAUAAGACAAAUAGAUAUAAAAGAUAAGGGACAUCCUUGACGAAUACCCCUAACAGCCUUGAAUUUGGAAGUUGGGGCACCAUUCUACAAAACCUGCAAGGUAGAUGAUGAAAUAGCAUUCAUAAUAACAUGUGUUAAAAAAAAUAGGAAUACCUUCUACCUUGAGUAAUGCUUUUAUGAAAUCCCAACGAACUCUAUCCUAGGCUUUCUUCAAGUCAAUCUUGACGACUAUCAAUUGGGGAGUCUUCUUGGUUUUCAUGGAAUGCAAUACUUCUUGUGCAAUGUUCACGUUAUCAAUAAUACUUCUCCCUACUAUAAAUCUCGUUUGUUCUUGACUUAUAAUCUUUAGAAAAAUACUCCUGAAUUGGUUUCCAAUAACCUUCAUAACCAAUUUAUAAUGCACCGAACAAAUGCUAAUGGGUUUGAACUGCGUGAGAUGUUCAUGAUUAGGAAUUUUGGGAAUUAAGACAAAAAUGGUAUUGUUGAGCUCUGAUUUUAUAGUACCUCUUUCAAAGAUCUUCCUAACCCAAUUGCAAAUGGCUCCACCUAUAUUAUCCUAUUAGUUCUGAAAAAACAAGGCUUGGAAACCAUCACUUUCGAGCGUUUCAAUGGUGCCGUGUUGAAGAGAGUAGUCUUGAAUUCUUCAUUCAUGACAUUCCUUUCAAGAAAAUCAAUAUCUAUAUAACCAAGUUGCGAGAAAGCACUUACAGGCAGAUUACCUAUUAGGCCUGUUGCUUCUCCAUAAAGAUUCUAGAAGAAAUCGACUGCAUCUGAUUUAAGGGCUUCAGGAUCAAGAAUCCAUUCCCCAUUAGAAUUACACAAAGAUGUUAUUCUAUUAAAAUUUCUCCUCUAAACACACGCCUGUGAAAGUACUUAGUGUUUCGGUCCCCCAACUUCAACCACUCACAUUGUGACUUUUGCCUCCAGAGCAUCUCAUGAUGAAGGGUAUUUUCUAGUUCCUUUCGAACCUCCAAUUCACUUUGGACUAGAGAAUUAGAUCUAGAAACAUCCAUAGAAUGUUGUAUUUUUGAUAAAUUAUGAAACAAUUGCCUUUUAUGGUUAUUAAUAUGACUAUAAAUGCACUUGUUCCAAUAUUUGAGCUUAUUAGUAAAACCAACAACCAUGGUAUUCAUAUUCCCAUCAAAAUUCCAAUUAUCCCUUACGAAUUCUAAAAAAUUUGGAUGUUGUAACCACCUUUCUAAAAAUAAAAAAAAGGUCUUCCUUUUUUAAAAGAGGGCUCCUACUGUAACUUUAGGAGCAGUGGCCAAUAAUCCAAUUUAAUUCUUGGGAGGUGAGUAACAAAACAGUUGGGAAAGGUCUCCACCCAAGCUUCAUUCUCUAGUGCCUGAUCUAGCCUCUCAAAAGGUUACAUUGAUGCCAAGUGAAAGGGGGUCCUCUAAAUCCCAUGUCAUAGAGUUUGCCUUUAUCUAUAAAAUCACCAAAAAAAGAAAAGAACAUUUUCGUCCUCUCAUAUGACCGCCUUUUUUAUCAUUCGAAGAGAGAAUGGCGUUAAAAUCUCCAAUGGCCAACCAUGUAGAAUGCCUAAGCGGGAUAAACAGACUCAGAUCCCUCCAAAUAAAUUUCUUUUUUUGUCCAUCGAGACUUCCAUGCACAAAAGCAAUAAAGAUCAAAUGUGGUUGGAUAAUGGAGCAAAUGUGAACUAGGAUGAAUUGAGGAUGAUUUUUAAUCACUUUCAAAUCGAUAGAUUCUCUCAAUCCUAACCAAAUACCACUCGAAAAGCCAACCGCUUCCACUCGAUGAGAUUUUGCCAAAUCCAAACUAGCAAUGAUAGCGUUGGCUUUAACCCUACUAACUUUUAGCUCAAGAAGACUGACUAUGUCCGAUUGAUAUUGUUUACGGUACUCACGAAGUACUUGCGGGAAUUUUACAUUCGUACACCCUUGUACAUUCCAAGAUAAAAUAGAUAAAUCCAUAUUAAAAAGAAAAGAAAAAAAAACUUAUCUUACUAUCGACCAGAGGCAACAAUAUCUGGCUUCUCCCCCUCUUUUACUGACAUAUCCAUAGUAGAUUGCCUGCUUAAAUAUGAUGAAAUGAGUUCCGCUGUUGUCUUCAUCGAUUUAGCGAAAGAAACACAAGAACUACCAGAGGCCUUGAAUCGGUUACCCAAGCCCUUUAGAUUUUAUUUAUUUUCCACCCUCCUUUUGAACUAAGAGUUUUGACUUCGCUCUCCUUAAAUUUACUUAAAGGCAAUUGAUUUCUAGAAGUAGUUGAACUGCUCCCAACCGUCUUCCUAGAAAAAUUAUGUUGGGUGUUGUCCUUAAAGAUUACGGCGAUAUGAUUAUUGGCAUUCAAAAUACCCUCAUUCACUAUUACAUCUACCAUGGUCGCUUCCUCAAAAGUUGGGUUGAAAUGCAGUGAAUGCUUUUUUUUAAAUUGAUUUGAUUUUGAAAGAGCCAUGUCCACACCACCUGUAUAAAAAUCAGCUAAAACAAUAGAAGAAGAUGACAAGGGAACGAGUUUACCUGAAACAAAUGGUUG